rnacentral:lncRNA from 1 species
GCUUCUUCUCUCUCCUCAUCUAUAACAACUGCAACAUGCAAAAUCUCCAUUACAUCCCCACCGCCACCUGUAAUAAAUUUCUCAUUCGAUUUCCUGCUGCUGCUGCUCAUGAUCACGAGGCCUCUUCUUCUUCAAAUUCAAACCCAUACCCAAAUCCAAUUCAAGGAGGCCCAGUAAACUUAAUGUUGGAAUGGGGUAGAGCCGCAGAAGUUGAGCAGAGUGGAGAUCUUGGGCUUGAUUCAUACGAAAGCUGCAGGGAUUGAAA